AGUCAAGACUGCAAGCUUUAGCAAUGAAAGAUUGUAAAUCCUUGGACUCAGUUUUGUUUUUAUCAAAAUCACUGGCAGCAUGUGAUGAAAGCAGGAGGGGGUCAGAAGAAAGCUGAAAUUUUCUCUGCUGAGGCUGAGCUGUGGUUAGCUCAGUCAGUACUUCAAAGAAUGAGGAAUUACAGUUUUCAGGCACUUCGUGUUUGCUGAUCAUUAAAUGUUCUCCCAAGGAAUGAUACAUGGAGAACAUAGCAAGAUCUGUAAUGAUCAGUGUUUUCUUUCAUUUCUGUUAAUGUCAUAACCUGCCUUGCCAAAAAAAGUGUUCCUAAAAGCUGUGUUGGCUAUUACUGCAAAGGGUCUCAAGCAAUGGCCAGGUCAAAUCUCUGACUCCUCAACUGCUUAGGCUUGGGACCACUGAACAGAAUAAAAUCCUGGAGAUGCUAAGUAUCUUGCACAUAUGCUGAGGAAGACACAUUUUUGGAGCAGUCUUGAAGUUCUCAGAAAGAUAAGUAGUGGACCUUCAGUCUUUUUUUGAUCUCAACAUCCCCUUUUAAAGUUUUUCUGCCCAGAUCCUGAGUCUGCAUAUCUGACAAUAUAGUGAGUGAUCAAACUAGAACACAAGUUGAUCCUCAAAGCCUGCAUGAGACAAUUCCUUUCCCCCACCUAAUCCGUGUAAAACCUUGAUGUUUGUUUAAGGUAAUGAUCACAUAGAAUCAUCAAAUGGUUUUGUCUGAAGGUAUUAUUAAAGA